UACAGAGGGUGCAAGCGUUAAUCGGAAUUACUGGGCGUAAAGCGUGCGUAGACGGUUAUUUAAGUCAGGUGUGAAAGCCCCGGGCUCAACCUGGGAAUUGCAUUUGAGACUGAAUAGCUAGGGUGCGGAAGAGGGAAGCGGAAUUUCCGGUGUAGCGGUGAAAUGCGUAGAUAUCGGAAGGAACACCAGUGGCGAAAGCGGCUUCCUGGUCCAGCACCGACGUUCAGGCACGAAAGCUAGGGGAGCAAACAGG
rnacentral:rRNA from 1 species